rnacentral:rRNA from 1 species
AUCUACGGCUGUACCACCCUGUACACACCUGAUCUAAUCUGGUCUCAGAAACCAGGGUCAGGCUUGACUUGUACAUGAAUAGAAGAAAACAAUUUUAAAGUUGGUC